rnacentral:lncRNA from 1 species
GAGAAGUUAACAUUUACACUAAUUAUGUUGUGAUUAUCGAUUAUCACUUAAGAUAAUCGAUUAUCUUAGUGGCUUUAACGUAUUAAAUUUCUAGAUUCAUCAAACAUGAAAGGAUAAUCGACUAUCAUCCUAGAUAAUUAAUUAUUUUCGAAACACGACUCAUAACCAAUGCGCAAAUAAUCGAUUAUAACUAAUGAUAAUCGAUUAUUGCCGAAUCAAAACACAUCCUAG